rnacentral:rRNA from 1 species
GAUGAACGCUAGCGGCAGGCCUAAUACAUGCAAGUCGAACGGUGUCUUCGGACAUAGUGGCGCACGGGUGCGUAACACGUAUGCAACCUACCUUACAUUGGGGGAUAGCCUUUCGAAAGGGAGAUUAAUACCGCAUAAGACAGUAGCUGGGCAUCCAGCAGCUGUUAAAGAUUUAUCGAUGUAAGCUGGGCAUGCGUCCAAUUAGCUAGUUGGUGAGGUAACGGCUCACCAAGGCAAUGAUUGGUAGGGGAACUGAGAGGUCAAUCCCCCACACUGGCCCUGAGAUACGGGCCAGACUCCUACGGGAGGCAGCAGUAGGGAAUAUUGGGCAAUGGACGCAAGUCUGACCCAGCCAUGCCGCGUGCAGGAUGAAGGCGUUAUGCGUUGUAAACUGCUUUUAUACAGGAAGAAACGACUCUUGCGAGAGGCAUUGACGGUACUGUAUGAAUAAGUACCGGCUAACUCCGUGCCAGCCGCCGCAGUAAAAC